rnacentral:rRNA from 1 species
GACGUAGGGGGCCAGCGUUGCUCGGAAUUACUGGGCGUAAAGGGUUCGUAGGCGGUGUGGCAAGUCGGUAGUGAAAUCUCCAGGCUUAACUUGGAGGCUGCUGCCGAAACUGCCGUGCUAGAGUACGGGAGAGGCGAGUGGAAUUACAGGUGUAGCGGUGAAAUGCGUAGAUAUCUGUAGGAACACCCGUGGCGAAGGCGGCUCGCUGGACCGUUACUGACGCUGAGGAACGAAAGCGUGGGGAGCGAACAGG